rnacentral:rRNA from 1 species
AGAGUUUGAUCCUGGCUCAGGAUGAACGCUGGCGGCGUGCCUAAUACAUGCAAGUCGAGCGAACAGACGAGGAGCUUGCUUCUCUGACGUUAGCGGCGGACGGGUGAGUAACACGUGGAUAACCUACCUAUAAGACUGGGAUAACUUCGGGAAACCGGAGCUAAUACCGGAUAAUAUAUUGAACCGCAUGGUUCAAUAGUGAAAGACGGUUUUGCUGUCACUUAUAGAUGGAUCCGCGCCGCAUUAGCUAGUUGGUAAGGUAACGGCUUACCAAGGCAACGAUGCGUAGCCGACCUGAGAGGGUGAUCGGCCACACUGGAACUGAGACACGGUCCAGACUCCUACGGGAGGCAGCAGUAGGGAAUCUUCCGCAAUGGGCGAAAGCCUGACGGAGCAACGCCGCGUGAGUGAUGAAGGUCUUCGGAUCGUAAAACUCUGUUAUUAGGGAAGAACAAAUGUGUAAGUAACUAUGCACGUCUUGACGGUACCUAAUCAGAAAGCCACGGCUAACUACGUGCCAGCAGCCGCGGUAAUACGUAGGUGGCAAGCGUUAUCCGGAAUUAUUGGGCGUAAAGCGCGCGUAGGCGGUUUUUUAAGUCUGAUGUGAAAGCCCACGGCUCAACCGUGGAGGGUCAUUGGAAACUGGAAAACUUGAGUGCAGAAGAGGGAAGUGGAAUUCCAUGUGUAGCGGUGAAAUGCGCAGAGAUAUGGAGGAACACCAGUGGCGAAGGCGACUUUCUGGUCUGUAACUGACGCUGAUGUGCGAAAGCGUGGGGAUCAAACAGGAUUAGAUACCCUGGUAGUCCACGCCGUAAACGAU